CCUACGGGAGGCAGCAGUGAGGAAUAUUGGUCAAUGGGCGCGAGCCUGAACCAGCAAAGUCGCGUGAGGGAAGACGGUCCUAGGGGUUGUAAACCUCUUUUGCCGGGGAGCAACGGGCGCCACGUGUGGCGCCACUGAGAGUACCCGGAGAAACAGCAUCGGCUAACUCCGUGCCAGCAGACGCGGUAAUACGGAGGAUGCGAGCGUUAUCGGGAUUGAGUGGGGUAAAAGGGUGCGUAGGCGGAGCGGUAAGGCGGUGGGCAAAUUGGGGGGCUAAACCCUUUCCCGCUUUUGAAACUGGCUCUCUUGAGUGGAAGAGAGGUAUGCGGAAUGCGUGGUGUAGCGGUGAAAUGCAUAGAUAUCACGCAGAACCCCGAUUGCGAAGGCAGCAUGCCGGCUUCCUACUGACGCUGAAGCACGAAAGCGUGGGGAUCGAACAGGAUUAGAUACCCUUGUAGUC
rnacentral:rRNA from 1 species